GAUGAACGCUAGCUACAGGCUUAACACAUGCAAGUCGAGGGGAAACGACAUCGAAAGCUUGCUUUUGAUGGGCGUCGACCGGCGCACGGGUGAGUAACGCGUAUCCAACCUGCCCACCACUUGGGGAUAACCUUGCGAAAGUAAGACUAAUACCCAAUGAUAUCCCACGAAGGCAUCCGAAUGGGAUUAAAGAUUUAUCGGUGAUGGAUGGGGAUGCGUCUGAUUAGCUUGUUGGCGGGGUAACGGCCCACCAAGGCAACGAUCAGUAGGGGUUCUGAGAGGAAGGUCCCCCCACAUUGGAACUGAGACACGGUCCAAAACUCCUACGGGAGGCAGCAGUGAGGAAUAUUGGUCAAUGGGCGAGAGCCUGAACCAGCCAAGUAGCGUGCAGGAUGACGGCCCUAUGGGUUGUAAACUGCUUUUAUAAGGGAAUAAAGUGGGUCUCGUGAGACUUUUUGCAUGUACCUUAUGAAUAAGGACCGGCUAAUUCCGUG
rnacentral:rRNA from 1 species